UACAGAGGGGGCAAGCGUUGUUCGGAAUCACUGGGCGUAAAGGGAGCGUAGGCGGGUUUCUAAGUAAGGUGUUUAAUCCCGGGGCCCAACCCCGGACAGGCACUUUAAACUGGAAAUCUUGAAUAGGGGAGAGGUCAGUGGAAUUGGAGGUGUAGCGGUGGAAUGCGUAGAGAUCUCCAAGAACACCAGUUGCGAAGGCGGCUGACUGGACCCAUAUUGACGCUGAGGCUCGAAAGCAUGGGGAGCAAACAGG
rnacentral:rRNA from 1 species